GUCCACGCCGUAAACGUUGGGCACUAGGUGUGGGGCUCUAUCGACGGGUUCCGUGCCGUAGCUAACGCAUUAAGUGCCCCGCCUGGGGGAGUACGGCCGCAAGGCUAAAAACUCAAAGGAAUUGACGGGGGCCCGCACAAGCGGCGGAGCAUGUGGCUUAAUUCGAUGCAACGCGAAGAACCUUACCUGGGUUGAACUAUGUGGGAAAAAGCCGUAGAGAUACGGUGUCCUUCGGGGCCCACGAUAGGUGGUGCAUGGCUGUCGU
rnacentral:rRNA from 1 species